rnacentral:rRNA from 1 species
UACGGAGGGAGCUAGCGUUGUUCGGAAUUACUGGGCGUAAAGCGCGCGUAGGCGGCUUUUGUAAGUUAGAGGUGAAAGCCCGGGGCUCAACCCCGGAAUUGCCUUUAAGACUGCAUCGCUUGAAUCCGGGAGAGGUGAGUGGAAUUCCGAGUGUAGAGGUGAAAAUUCGUAGAUAUUCGGAAGAACACCAGUGGCGAAGGCGGCUCACUGGACCGGCAUUGACGCUGAGGUGCGAAAGCGUGGGGAGCAAACAGG